rnacentral:rRNA from 1 species
AUGGCGUCCAGAGCAGCAGCCGCCGUUGUUUUAGCCCUGGCCUUGGUCUGCGCCGCACAUUCGGCAGCAGCCGCCGGGAAUCUGUCCCCUGACUUCUACAAGAAGGCGUGCCCGCAGCUGGACCAAAUCGUGGCAUUCCAUGUGGCGGAGACCUUCCGGCGCGACGUCGGCGUGGCGCCCGGCCUCAUCCGCAUCCUCUUCCAUGACUGCUUCACCCAGGGCUGCGACGCAUCGGUGCUCCUUAACGCAACCGACGGUGAGCAGAAGGUGGGGCCCAACCUAACACUUCGGCGGGUGGCGCUGGACCUCAUCGAGCGCAUCCGCAGCGCGGUGCACACCGCCUGCAAGGACAACAAGGUGUCCUGCGCCGACAUCACCGUGCUCGCCACCCGCGAAGCGGUCUUCAAGGCCGGCGGGCCGCGAUUCGACGUGGAGCUCGGCCGCCGCGACGCGCUCGCCCCGGCGCCUGCCCAGAUCAACAAGCUGCCGGGGCCCUCCUUUCCUGUGCCCCUGCUCAUCCAGUCCUUCAAGGGCCGUGGCCUCGACGUGGCGGACCUGGUGGCCCUCUCCGGCGCGCACACCUUCGGCGUCGCGCACUGCUCGCUCUUCCAGGACCGCUUCAAGCCGGGCUUCGGGAACCCGCCCAUCGACCCCAAGUUCGCCACGAUGCUCAAGGACAAGUGUGCCAAUGACUUCGACCGCAAAAAGACGCAGAGCCUCGACGUGCGCACGCCCGACGCCUUCGACAACCAGUUUUACAUGGACCUGGUCGCCAAGCAGGGGCUGUUCAGGUCGGACCAGGGACUCAUCGAGGACCCGGCCACCAAGGCCUUGGCCGCCCAGUUCUCCCUCGACCAGCGCGCCUUCUUCGAGCAGUUCGCCAAGUCCAUGACCAAGAUGACCAACAUGGAUGUGCUCACAGGCAAGCAGGGCGAGAUCCGGAACGACUGCGCCGUCCCCAACAAGCGCGUCACCGCCCACGGCGACGAGGAGGGCCAUGCCGCCGACAUGUGA